rnacentral:lncRNA from 1 species
AUCAAAAACGGACGGCCCAGAUUAAAACAAAAUGGACGACUGAGAUCAAAAGGCAAAGAGUUAUAAAUAGAACCCCCACACCAGACCACAAACCCUAGCCGCCUGCCGCUCGCCGGAGAAGACGAACCAGAAGCCGGCCGCCGCCACCCGCCGCCGCACCGGAGGAAUUUCCGACCGCCGAUCGAGGUAAAUUUCGUACCCCCGACUCGUUUUUCCACGCUGAUUCCUCCUGUGGCCAAAUCGGAGCUAAAAUCCUGGCCAAACGGCCGGAAUACACGGCCGAAGCCCAGCGACGCCGUCGCGCCCCUUCUUGGUUUUUACCUCCGAUGAGGCCCUUCCCGGCCUCCGUUUGAUGCAAUUUUUAUAUCACCGUGAUCACCAUUCUUUUCUCUACAGGUUGACCGGAGCCGAAUCACCAAAACACGAACCUCGCCGGAGAGCCGCCGCACCCGAGAGCGCCACCGCCGGUAAGCUCCGUUUUUCCGUGAU